rnacentral:rRNA from 1 species
GACGAACGCUGGCGGCGUGCUUAACACAUGCAAGUCGAACGAUGAAGCCCAGCUUGCUGGGUGGAUUAGUGGCGAACGGGUGAGUAACACGUGAGUAACCUGCCCUUAACUCUGGGAUAAGCCUGGGAAACUGGGUCUAAUACCGGAUAGGAGCGUCCACCGCAUGGUGGGUGUUGGAAAGAUUUAUCGGUUUUGGAUGGACUCGCGGCCUAUCAGCUUGUUGGUGAGGUAAUGGCUCACCAAGGCGACGACGGGUAGCCGGCCUGAGAGGGUGACCGGCCACACUGGGACUGAGACACGGCCCAGACUCCUACGGGAGGCAGCAGUGGGGAAUAUUGCACAAUGGGCGAAAGCCUGAUGCAGCGACGCCGCGUGAGGGAUGACGGCCUUCGGGUUGUAAACCUCUUUCAGUAGGGAAGAAGCGAAAGUGACGGUACCUGCAGAAGAAGCACCGGCUAACUACGUG